UCGAGAAUCUUCCACAAUGGACGAAAGUCUGAUGGAGCGACGCCGCGUGCAGGAUGAAGGCCUUCGGGUUGUAAACUGCUUUUGCCAGGGACGAAUUUUUGACGGUACCUGGCGAAUAAGGGGUUGCUAACUCUGUGCCAGCAGCAGCGGUAAUACAGAGACCCCGAGCGUUAUCCGGAUUCAUUGGGCGUAAAGCGUCCGCAGGAGGUCGUGUUAGUCUUGCGUUAAAUCACGGGGCCCAACUCCGUAACUGCGCAAGAAACGGCACGACUUGAGCAUGCAAGAGGCAAGCGGAACUCAUGGUGUAGCAGUGAAAUGCGUUGAUAUCAUGGGGAACACCAAAGGCGAAGGCAGCUUGCUGGGGCAUUGCUGACUCUAAGGGACGAAAGCGUGGGUAGCG
rnacentral:rRNA from 1 species